UUCACAAAAUCAGCCUUUUAUAGUUUGUAAUUACACAAGUUACUUUAAAAUCUUGAUUAAUGCUUUUUUCAUUUAUAUCAGCAAGCAAAGUGUUGACUUUGAAAUCCAGCCCAAAAGAAAAGAAGAAGUAAGAUUAAACGUUUGGACAUUAGACAGAUUAACCAAUUUACAAGAUAUCCCUAGAUUUUAUUUUAACUUAACCCUUAUGAAUACAUCACAAAAA